rnacentral:lncRNA from 1 species
UAGGGGCCCGAGGGUCGGCGGACGCUUAAUCGACCGGCAUUUUUCCUCCUACGCGAGGGAAACUAACAAGGGUCCAGAGUUCAAGCGGAAAGAAAAACGUCUUACAGCCAGUGUCUACACUCUAGAGAACGGGGUUGGGGGGGGGUUCUGAGUCCGCGGGAACUCGGCACAGCCCCGCGGG